UACGAAGGGUGCAAGCGUUGCUCGGAAUUAUUGGGCGUAAAGGGUAGGUAGGUGGUCUAAUUUGUCUGGGGUGAAAUCCUUGAGCUUAACUCAAGAAGUGCCCCAGAAACGGUGAGACUGGAGUCCUGGAGAGGGUCGUGGAAUUCCCGGUGUAGCGGUGAAAUGCGCAGAUAUCGGGAGGAACACCGGUGGCGAAGGCGGUUCUCUGGGCCUUACCUGACGCUGAGGAGCGAAAGCGUGGGGAGCGAACAGG
rnacentral:rRNA from 1 species